rnacentral:rRNA from 1 species
AGAGUUUGAUCAUGGCUCAGAUUGAACGCUGGCGGCAGGCCUAACACAUGCAAGUCGAGCGGUAGAGAGGUGCUUGCACCUCUUGAGAGCGGCGGACGGGUGAGUAAUACCUAGGAAUCUGCCUGGUAGUGGGGGAUAACGUUCGGAAACGGACGCUAAUACCGCAUACGUCCUACGGGAGAAAGCAGGGGACCUUCGGGCCUUGCGCUAUCAGAUGAGCCUAGGUCGGAUUAGCUAGUUGGUGAGGUAAUGGCUCACCAAGGCUACGAUCCGUAACUGGUCUGAGAGGAUGAUCAGUCACACUGGAACUGAGACACGGUCCAGACUCCUACGGGAGGCAGCAGUGGGGAAUAUUGGACAAUGGGCGAAAGCCUGAUCCAGCCAUGCCGCGUGUGUGAAGAAGGUCUUCGGAUUGUAAAGCACUUUAAGUUGGGAGGAAGGGCAUUAACCUAAUACGUUAGUGCUUUGACGUUACCGACAGAAUAAGCACCGGCUAACUCUGUGCCAGCAGCCGCGGUAAUACAGAGGGUGCAAGCGUUAAUCGGAAUUACUGGGCGUAAAGCGCGCGUAUGUGGUUUGUUAAGUUGAAUGUGAAAUCCCCGGGCUCAACCUGGGAACUGCAUCCAAAACUGGCAAGCUAGAGUAUGGUAGAUGGUGGGUGGAAUUUCCUGUGUAGCGGUGAAAUGCGUAGAUAUAGGAAGGAACACCAGUGGCGAUGCGACCACCUGGACUGAUACUGACACUGAGUGCGAAAGCGUGGGGGAGCAAACAGGAUAGAUACCUGUAGUCCACGCCGUAGCGA